AUACUUACCUGGACGGGGUCAAUGGGUGACCAACAAGGCCCAUGGCCUAGGUUGAUGACUUCCAUUGCACUUUGGAAGGGUGUUAAUCUAAGGUCUACUUAAUAGGUGGAGUCUACGUCAUAAUUUGUGGUAGAGGGGGCCUGCGUUUUACCCAAUUUCAUA
rnacentral:snRNA from 1 species